GACGAACGCUGGCGGCGUGCUUAACACAUGCAAGUCGAACGGAAAGGCCCCUUUGGGGGUACUCGAGUGGCGAACGGGUGCGUAACACGUGAGUAACCUGCCCUUGACUUCGGGAUAACUUCAGGAAACUGGGGCUAAUACCGGAUAGGAAUCCUUGCUGCAUGGUGGGGGUUUGAAAGCUUCGGCGGUUUUGGAUGGACUCGCGGCUUAUCAGCUUGUUGGUGGGGUAGUGGCUUACCAAGGCUUUGACGGGUAGCCGGCCUGAGAGGGCGACCGGCCACAGUGGGACUGAGAUACGGCCCAGACUCCUACGGGAGGCAGCAGUGGGGAAUAUUGCACAAUGGGCGGAAGCCUGAUGCAGCAACGCCGCGUGCGGGAUGACGGCCUUCGGGUUGUAAACCGCUUUCAGCAGGGGCGAAGCUUGUGGUGACGGUACCUGCAGAAGAAGCACCGGCUAACUACGUG
rnacentral:rRNA from 1 species